rnacentral:rRNA from 1 species
UACGAAGGGGGCUAGCGUUGCUCGGAAUUACUGGGCGUAAAGGGCGCGUAGGCGGCACUGUUAGUCAGGCGUGAAAGUCCUGGGCUCAACCUGGGAACUGCGCUUGAUACGGCAGAGCUAGAGGAUGGAAGAGGCUCGCGGAAUUCCCAGUGUAGAGGUGAAAAAUUCGUAGAUAUUGGGGAAAGAACACCGGUGGCGAAGGCGGCGAGCUGGUCCAUUACUG